GAACUUUCCAGAGAUGGAUUGGUGCCUUCGGGAACUGUGAGACAGGUGCUGCAUGGCUGUCGUCAGCUCGUGUUGUGAAAUGUUGGGUUAAGUCCCGCAACGAGCGCAACCCUUAUCCUUUGUUGCCAGCGGUCCGGCCGGGAACUCAAAGGAGACUGCCAGUGAUAAACUGGAGGAAGGUGGGGAUGACGUCAAGUCAUCAUGGCCCUUACGACCAGGGCUACACACGUGCUACAAUGGCGCAUACAAAGAGAAGCGACCUCGCGAGAGCAAGCGGACCUCAUAAAGUGCGUCGUAGUCCGGAUUGGAGUCUGCA
rnacentral:rRNA from 1 species